UAUAUCAUUAAUAAGGUCUCUAUAUAUGCUAUACUGUUCCAUUGCAGAGAUGUCCAAUAAUUUAUUUAGCCAUGGGAAGGCAGACUCUUCAAAGCUCUCAGGUGUUUUGGUUGAGUGAAAUUAGCCAUUAACUAACAGGGAGCGAAAUCCUGCAGAAGUGGCAAGGACAGGUGUCUGGGGCCAGAGUCAGGGAAGAAAAUGGGCAGGAGAGCUAGAGAAGAAAGGGUAGGCAAGGACAAAGCCUGAUGCCACCUAUACCUUCUCAUUGGGAGAGUGUUCCAUAACACCUGACACAUAGUAGGUACCAAGGGAUAUUUACCAACUGCCUACCACAUGCCAGGGCCUAGAUAAUGGGAGGAUAAGGCUGAUUAAACAUGGUCUUGGCCGGACACAGUAGCUCAUGCCUGUAAUCCCAGCACUUUGGGAGGUCAAGGGCGGGGGAAUCACUUGAGGUCUGAAAUCCCGCCUACCAGGGAGGCUGAGGCAGGAGAAUCAAGACUCUGUCUCAAAAAAAAAAAAAACAAAAAAACAUAUUUGGUCUCUGCCCCUGGUUCCUGAGUUGAAGCUCCUAAAGCCCUUGUAGAUAGAGAUGCUAGGAGCAUCAUUUGUUCUAAAAUUUGGUCUCUGAACCCCGAGUUCCUGACACAGAGCUCCUAAAUUCCUUGUAAUUUCCUGGGUGAUAGGAGCAUCUUUUGUUCUAAUGAGAUGACUCAUCGUGGGCUCCUGGAGAGCCUUAGGAUGGGGGCUGGUUGCCAGGGAAACCAACCAUGUGAUUAGAGCUCUGGAACUUACAGCCCCACCUCACUCCAACCUCCAGGGAGGGGAGAGGGCCCAGAGGUUGAGUUGAUCACCAAUGAUGGAGUCUUGCUCUGUCACCCAAGCUGGAGUGCAGUGGCACGAUCUCGGCUCACUGCAACCUCCGCCUCCCAAGUUCAAGUGAUUCUCGUGCCUCAGCCUCCCGAGAAGCAUUGGCGCUCUCAUAGGCCUGUCCAUAGCAGCAGUGGUUCUUCUCGCCUUCAUUGUUACCGCCUGUGUGCUCUGCUACCUGUUCAUCAGCUCUAAGCCCCACACAAAGUUGGACCUGGGCUUGAGCUUACAGACAGCAGGUGGUUCCUAACUUCCUGGCAACAACCACAAUUGUAAUUCGUUCAAAGAGAUUGACUGCUGUGGAGACAGAUCAUCACCAUCACCAUCACCAUCACCAUCACCAUCACCACCACCACCAUCAUCAUCAUUGUCAUCGUCAUCAUUAUGUUGCUUUUAGCUCACUGGAGCCUCACAGAACCCUGUGAGGGCAUGGACAGAUCUUCCUCAGAGGAGGCCUCAGCAAGUGUCAGCCACAUGAAUGAGUGUAUGGAGCAAAGGAGGAGUGAACGUCUAGGAGACCAGCCCUUACCCCAACUCCUCCCCAUCCGCUCCUACUCUGGACUCCAAUCUAUGCCCUACCCCAGCUCUUGGAUUUGGCCUUUGGAUCAGGUUCUUCUGGUAAUGAAGCCUCACCUUUCCCCCAACUAACUCUGAUCUGGCCUACCCUGCUCCUGACUAACCUCAAGGAUCCUGAGUCUCCUUCAGCCUAACAGCUCCAGAAGCUGAACUCCAGCCCUAAGAGCCCCAGCUGCAGACAGGCCUCUGGCCAAGAGCUUAGUCAGGCUACCCUGACUAAGCCACAGGGUUGGCAUGCCCUCUGGGCAGCCCCUGAACCGGGCUCUGAAAACACAGGAAUGGACAAGGUAAUCUACCCGAGUCCUGAGCCUGCAAGGUAGUUGAGACAGAUCUUGAAGGAGAGUGGGCACAGUCAGAAAGGAAAAAGUGGCUCAGUGUAAAAUAAAACUGACACAAGCCCAUGUACCAGCAGCCAAUUGGAUCUUUUUUUUUUUUUUUUUUUUUUUUUGAGAUGGGGCUUCUCUUAUUGCCCAGGCUGGUCUUGAACUUCUGAGCUCAAGCGAUCCUCCCACCUUGGCCUACCAAAGUGCUGGGAUUACAGGCGUGAACCACCAAUUGGAUCUUUACUGGACCCCUACAGGGCACUGAGCUAGGGAAUGUUGAAGAUUCAGAGGCUGAAUCAGAUAGCAGCCCAACCCUGAGAUACAACUGAGCUACAGGCAAGAGGAUACUACUGGGCGCAGUGGCUCACACCUGUAAUCCCAGCACUUUGGGAGGCCGAGGCGGGUGGAUCAUGUGAGGCCAGGAGUUCGAGAAUACCCUGGCCAACACGGUGAAACCCCAUCUCUAUUAAAAAUACAAAAAUUAGCUGGGGUUGGUGGCACAUGCCUGUAAACCUAGCUACUUGAGAGGCUGAGACACGAGAAUCACUUGAACCUGGGAGGUGGAGGUUGCAGUGAGCUGUGAUCAUGCCACUGCACCCCAGCCUGGGUGACAGAGCGAGACUCUGUCUCAAAAAAAAAAAAAAAAAAAAAGAGGAUGCUAAGACAUCUGGAAGGUGGUGUUCUAUUGAGAAAAAAAAAACAAGGUAGGGACAAAAGCGAAAGCCUAGAAUGAUACAAAAAGUGCAGAACAUAGUGACCUACACAGCUACAUUUGUGUAGGCCCAGUUACAUCAACAUUCUAGAAUAUCCUAAUAUUCUGACACACUAAUGUUCCAGCACACCACAUUCUGUCAUGUUGUCAUUCCAUUCUGGGGAGCACUCCACCCCACCAACAUUCCUCUCUCUGCCAUUCCAAUGUUCCAUCCCAGCAACAUUCCUCCAUGCCAUCAUUGCAACAUUUAAAAAUAUCAGCACUGUAAGUCAAACUUUCAAGCUUCCAACUAAAAGCAUUUAUUUGUUUCUUGGUUCAUCUAUACCAGAGGCUCUUAAUAUUUGGGGGGAAUGUAGACUUUUUUGAGAAAUUAUUAAAAUUUAUGGCUCCAUCUCCCUAGAAAAAUAUGUUUAUACACAUAAAUUUUACAUAUCAUUCCAUAUAUUCAGUGACUCAUGGCAGAGUCCCUAGACUCUAAGAACUGUUCAAUUUUACCCUGCCUUGAUCCAGAAAGACAUUUAAAAUAAAAUAAGAUCGGCCGGGUGUAGUGGCUCACGCCUGUAAUCCCAGCACUUUUGGAGGCCGAGGUGGGUGGAUCACUAAAGGUCAGGAGUUUGAAACCAGCCUGGCCAACAUGGGGAAACCCCAUCUCUACUAAAAAUACACACACAAAAAAGUGUAGCUGGGUUUGGUGGUGCGCGCCUGUAAUCCCAGCUACUCGGGAGGCUGAGGUGGAAGAAUCACUUGAACCUGGGAGGUGGAGGUUGCAGUGAGCUGAGAUCGUGGCACUGCACUCCAGCCUGGGUUACAGAACAAGAUUUCAUCUCAAAAAUAAAAUAAAAUAAUAAAAUAAAACAAAACAAGAUCAUUAAAUUUAAGACAGGGCAAGGUAAAAUUGAAAGAGAAAAAAAAAACAAGGUAGGGAAAAAGUGGAGCCUGGAAUGAUACAAAAAGUACAGAACAUAGUGACCUAUGCAGCUAAAUUUGUGUCAUACAUACUUAGUUCUAUGACUUCCAGCAGCCAAGGCAAAAAGGGAAACCUGUUCACUCACACAGUUCACAGUGUUCACAGGAUAAAAACAAACCACUUACUCCUUAGAGGAUAUACAACUAUUCUUGGUAUGUAGACCAGACAAGAAUUUCUCCUGAGAGCCUCAUAAAGAAUAAUAUAAUAGACCAUGGCGUCAACAGAGCCCUCACAAUAGAUACAGAGAUGUAUUUUGUGGUAGAGUGACCAACUUGUCCUGGUUUGCCUGGGACUUUCUUGGUUUUAACCCUGAAAGUCUCAAUCCCAGGAAACUCUUUAGUCACGGGCAAAUCGAGAAGGUUGGUCACCUUAUCUAUGAGUUACAGUUCAGUCAAAACUUAUCUAGGGGCCGGUCGUGGUGGCUCACGCCUGUAAUCCCAGCACUUUGGGAGGCCGAGGCAGGCAAAUCACCUGAGGCCAGGAGUUUGAGACCAGCCUGACCAACAUGGAGAAACCCCAUCUCUACUAAAAAUACAAAGUUAGCCGGGCAUGGUGGUGCAUGCCUGUAAUCCCAGCUACU